rnacentral:snRNA from 1 species
AUACCUACCUGGCAGGGGAGAUACCAUGAUCACGAAGGUGGUUUCCCCAGGGCAAGGCUUAUCCAUUGCACUCAGGACGUGCUGACCCCUGCAAUUUCCUCAAAUGGACUGCAUAGUUUAUGGUAGUGGGAGAUUGUGUUUGCACGUUCCCCUG